CAGCAGCCACGGUAAUCCGUAGGUGGCAAGCGUUGUCCGGAAUUAUUGGGCGUAAAGGGCUCGCAGGCGGUUCCUUAAGUCUGAUGUGAAAGCCCCCGGCUCAACCGGGGAGGGUCAUUGGAAACUGGGAAACUUGAGUGCAGAAGAGGAGAGUGGAAUUCCACGUGUAGCGGUGAAAUGCGUUGAGAUGUGGAGGAACACCAGUGGCGAAGGCGACUCUCUGGUCUGUAACUGACGCUGAGGAGCGAAAGCGUGGGGAGCGAACAGGAUUAGAUACCCCCGUAGUCCCUGUCUCUUAUAC
rnacentral:rRNA from 1 species